rnacentral:rRNA from 1 species
UAGGGUUCGAUUCUGGCUCAGGACGAACGCUGGCGGCGUGCUUAACACAUGCAAGUCGAGCGGGGUUUAUCGGAUUAGCUUGCUAAACUGAUAAACCUAGCGGCGGACGGGUGAGUAACGCGUGAGCAAUCUGCCUCAUACAGGGGGAUAACAGGUGGAAACACCUGCUAAUACCGCAUAAGACUCCACUACCGCAUGGUAGAGAAGUCAAAGGGAUUACCGGUAUGAGAUGAGCUCGCGUCCCAUUAGCUAGUUGGUAGGGUAAAGGCCUACCAAGGCGACGAUGGGUAGCCGACCUGAGAGGGUGAUCGGCCACACUGGGACUGAGACACGGCCCAGACUCCUACGGGAGGCAGCAGUGGGGAAUAUUGCACAAUGGAGGGAACUCUGAUGCAGCAACGCCGCGUGAGUGAAGAAGGUUUUCGGAUCGUAAAACUCUGUCAUUGGGGAAGAAUAAAUGACGGUACCCAAUGAGGAAGCCCCGGCUAACUACGUGCCAGCAGCCGCGGUAAUACGUAGGGGGCGAGCGUUGUCCGGAAUUACUGGGCGUAAAGGGUACGUAGGCGGCUAUAUAAGUCAGGUGUGAAAUACCAGUGCUUAACACUGGAAUUGCAUUUGAAACUGUGUAGCUUGAGUGCAGGAGAGGAAAGUGGAAUUCCUAGUGUAGCGGUGAAAUGCGUAGAGAUUAGGAGGAACACCAGUGGCGAAGGCGACUUUCUGGACUGUAACUGACGC